rnacentral:snoRNA from 10 species
AUACAUGAUGACUUACAUGGACUCUCAUUCAGCUAAUGACUUGCUGCUGAAACAUGGAAAUCUGAUUUUU